rnacentral:lncRNA from 1 species
UGACAAUACUCGAUGGACUUGGCUUGGGUUCGGCCUUGUCUAAUAUUGAAGGAAGAUAUUCGGAUGCCGGUACGCAUGGGUUGCGACCCCAUGCAAUACAUAGAUGGUUAUGUGGGACAUUCGGAAUACAUAUGUCGCCAAGGCUUGGGCGACAUGCAAGUAUAACAGCUUGCGUGUAUAGCUUGAGGAUGUGGGCUAUCGUGAACGCUAAAGGAAUGACCGACAGAAGUGUGGGUAAACCGAUGGUGUGUUGGAUCGCUAUGUCUUGA